UACGGAGGGUGCAAGCGUUGCUCGGAAUUAUUGGGCGUAAAGGGUAGGUAGGUGGUCUUAUUUGUCUAGGGUGAAAGCCUUGAGCUUAACUCAAGAAGUGCCCUAGAAACGGUAAGACUAGAGUCCUGGAGAGGGUCGUGGAAUUCCCGGUGUAGCGGUGAAAUGCGUAGAGAUCGGGAGGAACACCAGAGGCGAAAGCGGCGGCCUGGACAGGAACUGACACUCAACUACGAAAGCGUGGGGAGCAAACAGG
rnacentral:rRNA from 1 species